AUUCAGAGGCACCCUCCCACCCCUUCCCUUCAUACUUGGAAGUGAUUGCUUGGCUCAACUUGAAGAAAGACAGACACAGAAACAGAAAUGUCACAGAGGGGAUCUAUUGUACAACAUGGUAACAGUGCUAAUGUCAACAGGGACCGGGGACCAGUGUAACUUUAACGUCAGUGAGAAAUGUAAAGGGGGUCUACGCACUCAAAUGCCCACCCUGGGCCUCAUGUGACUCACACAAACUGUCUGAUCGCACACGUCUGUAUGCCGUGACUCAGAGAGUGGCCUAGAGAUAACCCUGACUCAUUCUUUCUCAUGUGAGUUUGUUUUCUCUGCAAAUCUAUCGUGAAAUACCGU
rnacentral:lncRNA from 1 species